AGAGAGAGAGAGAGGAUUUGAAAAUGAUGAUUUAGUUUAUUCACAGAAUUUCUGCUUGUUUGGCACAGACAAAUGUUGAGAUUAUAGUAACAAAAGGGGAUCAAGAAGGAGGGACAAUUGCAGAUUUGGUGAGAGAGAUGGGUGCCUUUGCUCUUGUUGUUGGACUCCAUGAUCAGAGCUUUCUCUACAAGUAAGUUUGUGUUUAAUUUUUCAAUUGUGUAAAAACUCAAAUUCUGCAAUGUUAGUUAAGGCUAUAGAUUUUCUUUUCCCUGUCUGUUAUUGGGAGGUCUAGUACUAAUAGCUAGUCCCAGAUUGAACAAUGAGGAGUAAUUAUCCCAUUUCACUUUUAAUGAUUCCAUUCAAUAUUUUGAUGGGUAGAAGUAUUCAAAGACUGAUGAAAAACCCUACUACUCAUCAAAAUCAGAAUGAUGAUUGGAUUAUUCAACUGAAUUGGAGUUAAUGAGCUUCCAAUAGAUGUGGAGGUUAAGAAGUUCAACUGGCAGCUGGUGUUUAGGUAGUUUCCCAAUCAAGUGUAAAUGUAGCAUAGCAGCAGCAAGAUUGCUCUCCUAUUAAGUAUUGGGGUUUUGCCCAUUUACAAUGCCCUAGACAUUUAUGAUUAUGAACUAUUGUACUUUUUAUCCUAGGAACAGCUGUUGCCUGAGAGUGAGGGCUAGUGGCCUGGCCUGGCCAGGCCAGACUACUGACCUAGGAGCCAUAAACCAUCAGAGCGACAGCACAUGACAUGUCCAUUGUAAUGAAAGCGCCGUCAUUAAUGUUGGUGAAGAGCGACUGUGAAUCCUCCCUGAGUCUAUUACUUUAAAAAGACAUUUUACACCAGAAGGUUCCCCUUGUCUUCAUCUAAAUUUCUUAAAUUGGGCUCAAAAUUUCCAACAUUUGAUUCCCCUCGUAGAUGCCUUAGCAUGAUUAGCAAAUUUUUAAGCCCUAAGAAAGCAAAUUGCGGAUCUGGUGUCUCAUCUGAAUGGCUGUCGUUGUUUGAAAGCAAAUUCUUUCUUGCACCAAGGGCUUAAAAGGAAGACUAUUCAGGUUCUUCAAUUCCUAGAUGAGGAUUUAAUGGCUUGAAGCCUAUCAAAUCUUAACUCUUGAACUCUAAAAUGCCACAAGAUAACCCAUCCAUAGCAAAAUCAAUCCUGAAAGAGCUAAGAAAACUCUUUAUCAUGAGGAUAAGCCGACAUUUGACAGUGGAUAUCACUCAUCAAACUACACAUUCCAAAAAGAAAAUUCAAUCCCAUUAGGCACGCAUUAUUACCAAUCCUGGGAAUAAUAUGUGAAAAUAAUGAAUGCAUUGGUCCUUGUAAACUAGUCUGUAUUGUAUUAUAAAAUAGGCCAAUGAAAGAACUCAUAGCAGUGUUUUUUAUUUCCCAUUGCCGUAUAGGUUGGCAAUGGCCCACAGCAAUAUUGCAAGCAACUUUAACUGCAAAAUACUAGCCAUCAAACAACCAGCUGCAAUACCAUCACUGAUAACCAUGGCGACGCCUAUGGUACUCGACAGUUUAACCAACAUGGACUUGUCAAAGAUCGAGAUUACUACAUUAGAGGUUCCCGACAUGCCUUCACCUAAAGUUACAUAUAAAAUCUGUCCAGAUCCAUAUGCAAUAAUUUGGAGAUGGAGGAAGUCCAGGAGGAAGAGCAGCUUCUAAAGGGUGGCCUGGUUUGAAAUCAUCUGAAAUGCACAAUUUCUGCUUUCUUAGCUGCAGCCUACAGUAAUUUUUGGACUUGUCUAGGGCUAUGGUUUCUAGCUCUUCAGGCUUGUCUCACAUAGUACAUGUCUUGGGCUAUGAUCUCUAGCUCUUUUCAGACUUGUUUCACACAUCACAUCACAGCAUACGCAUGAAUAGUUGAAUUGACAACAAAUGGUUGAUUCUGCUUACAAUAUUCCAAGUAUUGAAAGAUUUUUAUCUUGUCAUGGUCUUUGCACAGGAAGCAAUGAAAGCUAUCGCAAUAAACGAAAUCACAUGCUUAGUAAUGAAGUAGACAAGUGUCUAUCUCAUAAUGUCAUAAUACAGAAGAUCAAAAGUUCUAUCCCCUAAAAAUAUAUUUGAUAUACCAAAAAUAAUUUUUUUUCCGAUGCAGGGAUGAAUAUUUAUAUCAUGCCAGUCAAAAGUGGAGAGGCUUAAAAACCAAACAUAACAAUUACAGGUUUAAAAUUGCUUCCCAGGCGACAAAAUGGGGUCAGCAAAUCCUAUACCAGGAUUUGCUUUUAUCAACCUUUCUUAUUCUUUUACAGCACAGAAAUGAUAGUAGUAAAGAUUCAAGCUGGGGGAUUGCAAUGCGCAGUUGUGUACCAUACUUGAUAGUUUCCAAAGAUGAUGUUUAUCUCACCAAUCAAGAAACAUCUAAUGCUUUCAACUACUUCAACCAGAGCUAGUGAUGCACAGAAGACAAAUGAAUUGAUCAGUAGUCUAUCUCAUUCAAGCCCUAAGCUAUGAAUCAAUCAAAAAGAAUAUAACAGAAUGUCAGAAUCAAGGCAUCAAAAACAACAUUGAUUUCAAGUGUUUUUAUCUUCUCCUACUAUCCCGGUAGUCCUCCUCACUCUCUUUAUCUUUUAAAAAGCCUAGAAAUGCAAGAAAACCGAAAAGGAAGAAUCCACCUGACCAGUUUCCUCCCCCACCACCCCCGCCACCUCCACCACCAUCGUCACCACCAGGUGGGAGUCCGGGUCCACCAUCAUCAAGUUUUGGCGUCUUGGUUGGUUCUGAAAUGCAAAUGACCAUUGUUACCCAUCUUAAAAAAGGCAUGAAUUUACACAAACAAAUGGGCUUAUAUAAAAUAAACUAUUCACACAACCACAAAAAACCUAAAACUAGGGGAAAUUGGAUUUUAUAUUUAUAACUCAAAAUGAAAUUCAAAACAAUAAUAAUGGUGCUCUUUUUUUUCCUCGUAUAAUGGGAGGUCCACACAGCUUAAGCUAAUACAAUAAAAUAAAUCAUCAUCCAACCUAAUCCCCAUCCCAUUCAAGAUUUAAGUAGAACAUCACUACUUGUCCAUAAGAGAGUUGUUUCUCUGAGGAGCUGGUCUUAGAUUUUCAUGCUAUUAAAUUUUAUCAUGCACAAAAAAAAAGGUUGUGAGAUAGCUUUUAAAUGGAUAUGGACCCUUAAGCACAUCUAUGCAGAAUUCAAAAGAACCCCCCACAGGAAGUGGCCAUAGCACACGCUCCAACUUGAGAAGAAAAAAUUUACAUGUUUGCUACAAUGCCUUAAAAGAAAUCCGGAGAAUUUGUAUAAUUAGCUAACUGCUAUGAGUUAAUGCCAGAUGGUUGGAGUCAAAAGCUCUAGUUAGUCAUAAGGUUGCCCAUGCUACACUAUGCGAUUGUCAGCUUAAUUAUACACAUGCAAGUGGCUACUACCUGAUGCAGGAGCAGGAACCUUUGUUAUUGUUAGCUUAACCCACAAACUGACCUAUGGCAGAAGGCUGCAGCCAGGAAUUCCAGUUGGGAUAUAGUUGGUAACGGUACACCAGUUAGUUAUUAUGCAAAUAACUAUUACUCUGCCUAGAAGCUUGCCUCAAAUGACAUGUGGCUUAUGCUAAAGCCGCAGGCUGGUAGCCGCAAGGCUACCAUGCUAAACCGUGCAUUUUGUCAAUUUAUUAAUACAUUAAAUUACCUCGUACAGGAGCCUUGGUGAUUGUUGGUGCCUCACGAGUUACGGUUUGAGUUUGCCCUGAAGCAGAGCAUCUUGCAUUCAUAGCAGCAGAACAUGUAAUUGAAGCAGAUUGCUUUCUAUUACAAUGUUUCCUUCCAUAAAUAGGAUGUAAUUGCUUCCCAAGCCCUAUUGGGCUCAGCACAAGCUUAUUUAACCCACUUCGAUGAUCAUAAGGUUGAAGCCGAGUGGAAACACUGACAGGACUGCAGCUUGUUUCCUUUUGACUCUUGCAUCCAUUCCUAGUUUUAACUGGCGCCGCAAGAGAUAAGGUACCAACAAAACUUGCAGUAAAUGCCAACAUCUCAAUCGAACCUG
rnacentral:misc_RNA from 1 species